AUACUACUCCCUCCGUUGCACAAUACAUGCCGUCUAUUUGUCAAAAUAUAUAUGUAUCUAGACAUGUUUUAGUAUAUAGGUACAUCCAUUUUUGGACAAAUGGAAGUCAAGUAUUUUGGAACGGAGGGAGUACACA
rfam:Triticum aestivum genome assembly, contig: Triticum_aestivum_CS42_TGACv1_scaffold_225636_3B